rnacentral:rRNA from 1 species
CCCUUAGACGUUCUGGGCCGCACGCGCGCUACACUGACCAGUGGAACAAGCAUCCGUCCUUGGCCGACAGGCCCGGGCAAUCUUUGAACGCUGGUCGUGAUGGGGAUAGACUUUUGCAAUUUUUGGUCUUCAACGAGGAAUUCCUAGUAAACGCAAGUCAUCAACUUGCAUUGAUUACGUCCCUGCCCUUUGUACACACCGCCCGUCGCACCUACCGAUUGAAUGGUCCGGUGAAGCCUCCGGAUUGGCGCGCACCUCGGUGCCGCCGAGAAGUUGGCUAAACCUUACCAUUUAGAGGAAGGUGAAGUCGUANCA